AAUAAUAUGGUCUGUAUUAUUUUACUCUUUGAAUAUCUAGUGAUGAGUCAAGCAUGGCAGCUUGGUGAGAGAAAGGGAGAGGGAAAAGGAAAUUGUGAGCAUUUGGGAAAAAGAAGUCGCAGCAACAAAUUUGCAGGAUUUUGAUUAGUUGCUGGAGAGAGUACUGUGUUGUGUUGAUGUGAUAUUUGGAGACAGAGCCAUUAUAUCCGCUCCUGUAUACCGUGUCUGGUUGAGCUCUGCCACAUCCUCUCCUCUUGUGUGGCGACAAGGAGAAAUGGAGUUUGAUCGGUGACUUCAUUGACGCGGUGGCAGUAUUUUCAGUUUUGAUGGAGUCUGUAAAGCGGUGGAUUCUAGAUUUAUUGUGUUUUUUCGUUUUGAUUUUUGAGUGGUUCGAUUAAAUAUGAUUCAAUUAUCUGUUUGAUUUGAUUUA